GUUAAGUCAGGCAACGAGCGAGACCCACGUCCACAGUUGCCAGCAUACCCUCCGGGGUGAUGGGUACACUGUGGGAGACCGCCGCUGCUAAAGCGGAGGAGGAGUGGGCAACGGUAGGUCAGUAUGCCCCGAAUCUCCCGGGCUACACGCGGGCUACAAUGGUUGGUACAAUGGGCAUCUACCCCGAAAGGGGAAGGAAAUCUCUUAAAGCCAAUCGUAGUUCGGAUUGAGGGCUGCAACUCGCCCUCAUGAAGCUGGAAUCCGUAGUAAUCGCGUUUCAACAGAACGCGGUGAAUACGUCCCUGCUCCUU
rnacentral:rRNA from 1 species